GGGGGAGGGGGACGUCUCUGAAACUACACAUGGAACACCUGCGGAGCCAGCAGGCUUUCCACAGCACUACAAGAUCUCCUUUCUGUGCCUUAUUGACUCUAGUGGGGGAUUUCUCUUAAUAGAAGGCAGUAGUUGCUAGAUUUUUGCAGUUGGAACAAAAUUAACUUUUCCGAAUAUGCCAACUGCUUGAGGAUUCUUCAGGCAAUACUGCUCAAGGCCAUAAACAUGUUCUAGUAUGAAAGUAUAUAUUGGUGGUUAAAAUGACACACUGAAGUGCAACUUGAAUUAAAAACAAAAUAUCUUCCUGGCUCCUUAAAUGUUAAAUUGUGCAAUAAUUAGUUUUAUUGUAAAUCUGGUCUGAUUCAUCUGACAUUUGCAGGAAGGUUCACAUCAAUUUCAGGAAACCGAAACAGACAUCAGUACAGGACAUCAGUGUUAUGGGAAUGUUUUGAAUCAUUAGACGUAAAAAAAGCAAAUAGUUUCGUACUUGUCCACUUCUCUCAUGACAUGUUGAGGUUUUUUGAAGAUAUAUUUAAGCAAAGGCAUGCAUCAUCCAACUCUGUCUUCCCUGAGCACUUCGAACUUGAAGUGAAAGUAGUCUUGCUAAACUUGAUGUUGCUUGUUUCAUUGGCAAUGAUUGAUGCACUCAUACUCUGUUUGUUUAUUACAAAAUCUGUCUGGAGAUCUGAGACUGGGCUGUAAGUGAUGCUCUCAUUCAAGCCAAAAUAUCAGAAAUAAUGGGAGUAUGACAACUAGACUUUCUUGAAUCUUUUCUUUAGCGGAGGACAGACUAGAGCUUUAAAGACCUUGCUUUCAAAAGGCAUGAUGUGCAAACACAUGUAUUUGCAAGCCUAAUUCACGUACACAGUUGCCACAAAUGUGCAAAUUGGGUAUUGUGGGCACAACCAGCUAUGCAUUUAGGGUCAGCUUUUCUAAAAGCAUGCCUACUCAAUGACUCUGAUUGCUCUCGAUAGGAGUUGCUGAGUGCUGGGCUCCCUUGAAAAUCCAACCCCAAUUAUGGAGGCCGAGCCCUUCUGAAAAUCUGGCCCUAAUUGGCUAAAUUUGUAAUUGCAGGUGCAAACUAAGUGCUCAAGUACAUACUCUUACAAUUGCAGUUGUGUACCUGAACUGUUAUACUUCUAGAGACCUAUUUUUGCAGCAAACGUUAAUCAGAAAAUAUGGUCACUAAAUUAUUUGAAGCUUUUGCAUGUGUUCAUGAUACAAGAUUACUGUGAUGAAUGUUUGGGUAGGUGGUUGUCUUUUAUAUGGAGGGUUUAAUGGUGUGGUCCGGGUUUUGGUUUUGUUUCAUUUCCUUUGUUUUUGUGUAUGCCGUCCCCUACAGUAAAAUUUAAUCACUCUACCCAAUCAAGAAUAGCAGAUUGGAUACUGAGUAACUUUUUAAAGCACUGAUUUAAAGUGCUAGCUAACUUAAGUCCUUUUUUGUUCCUUAUAAUAGCUUUAUUCCAACCUUUGAUACCUAAAUAAACAUAAUUUCACUCCAGAAGCAUGUUUUUUUUUCCCCUCCUAACAAUAAAAGCAAAGGGCAUGAUAUAAUUUGGAGUUUAGGAGUAGGAACAUCUUUUUAAGAAUUAUAGUAGAUAAUCUAUUCAAUUCAAUUAGUGUGUCACUUAUGAACAUAAUUGCACUAAAUAGGCAUAAUUCGACAGUUAUUUUGCAUUUGUAGUUGGACAUAAAAUUGAUAUUUGGCUUUUAUACAUUGAAGAUUAUUAAAAAGGAACUUAAAGAAGUGAUCUGGGAGAGCCAAGGAGCUGCAAAUGUCAACAAAUGUGAUACCUUACUGCAACUACUGAAUAGCAUGCAUGUACAGGUACCAACUGGAAUACUGUUUUGUGCCCCCUUACUGUAGGAAACUCAUGUUAAGCUUCUUGGUAGUUGUUUACAGAACAGUAUAUUCAAACAUUAGCAAAUGUUUUAAAAUUUAGUCACUUGUCGCAUGAUCAUAUUGUUUAAGUCUGAUUUGCAGAACAAUCCUCUUAUAAAUUGUGACUUAAGUACUCUGAACUCUCAAUGUGUCAUAUUUUAAACUACAUGAACAUUAGGCGUUAGAGUCUGUUCAUAGAAUCUUUCUUGACUAAUACUGCUUUCAGCUGCUUUUCCUGGAUAUUAGCAAAAAUUAUUUAAUACAUUUUGAAUUCAGGUGACUACAGUAGUUAUGAUGAACAUCCAAGAUCUCUCCCCUUAGGGCAAAGGCUUAAUACAAAAAGCUGUAAGAAUAUUAUAUAUGCUUCAGCAUAAUAAGAGUUCAGAUAUGGGAGCUAUAUAGUCUGUACUUUUAAAUAGAAGAAAACAAUGCAUUAAAUUGUUUCAAACAAGGGAAAGCUUUUGGGCGGGUAGACGAGCAAUACUAUGUUCCAUAGUUAGUGUCAAGAUUUGGAGGUGAGAGGAACUGUCUGCAUGCCUCUGUCUCAAGUGUAAGAGUAUUUGGAUGGCCUUUGACAUGGUGUUUGCAAAAAGAUGACCAUGUAGGGAAGUGACAGAGCACUUCAUACUGGGAUACAUAUCUGGGCAUGGAAUUCUAGGCAGAGUGCCAAUGACAUUUGUAUGUCCAGGCAAGCGUGUCUCACCAUUGAGUGGCGUAAAUAACCAGGUGGUAGGUUUCUCCGAUAUGUCAGUGGCAUCUAAAUUAGAGAGACUUUCUACAGGUCUUUCAGUGUAGAAUAAUAAUAUAGUUGGCACUGCAUGGUAGUGACUAGCUCUACAAUAUCCUUUUGUCAAGACGAGUUCUGACUCUAAACAGUCAGUUUAUAUUUGGGCCUGACUUGGACAGAGAUCUUGUCAGGAAGGUGUAGAUUAAAAUAACAUUUUUAAAAAAAAAAAAAAGCUAAAUACUUGCCUAAUUUACUUGAUAAGAAUGAUUUGAAAAUUUUGUAGAACUGAGGUGUUUAAGAUUAGAUUACAUUACCACUCUUGAAUUAGACACACCUAGAAAUAGAUGGUUGAGGAGCCAACUUUUUUACAAUCACUGGGAAGGAUGGAGAGGUCACUUACCUAUUCUUGUAAUUUUUUUUUCUGUAUUGAUGGAUUUCUGGAGUCACCCGGGUGUCAGUUUACAGUAGCUGAAAUACGUUUGGUUUCUGAUGAGAGGGAGGGGGCUGAGAGACUAGUUUAAUAUCCUUUCAGAAUGAAAUAAAGUGAGUUGAAGAAAAGGAAGGCAGCUGAUUAAGUAAACUUAGAGGCCAAGUGAAGAUGCUCUUGGCAGGUGAAACAGUGGAGACCAUGACCCACAUGUUUAUAUGCUUGAAGCCUCUACAAACAUUAAUUUUUUAAAGCAGUAUCUGUUUCAUGAAAACUACAUCUUUCAGAAAGGGUUCAGCAGAGUUAGUGGAAAAUAGGCGUAAUUUUGUGAGACAUGGACACAUUUAUGUGGGAGCCUUUUAAAAGCUCAUUAAAAAUAAUAAAACUUUAUCUUGCUCUAUUAUCACAGUAACUGAAUAUCAGAUAUCCGUAGAACUGAGUUAAUGGGUUUGGGACAUAUGCCUUAAGGUUUAUUCACUGACUUCUGGUGGGCACAGUUCUCAGUACUCAAGUGUUGAAAACAAACUUGGUGUAGCUUAGUAACCUAGAGUUGACGAAUAGAACAAAUAUCCAGAUGUUAUCCUCAAAUGGCUUUUCAACUUUACAGCUCUGCUAUAGAACUUGUCAGUUUUAAGACAGUCAAGCUUCCUGGAAAUUGCAUCCUUCUUGCUGAGUAAUUGCUGUCCAUUUUAAUAGACUAAAGUUUUUUUGUUUUGUUUUUUAUUUUAUUCAAAAUGUUAAACUUAAUUUGGUUUCACUAUGCCAAGUGAUGAGUCUGAUGUUUAACAGGUGCAUUUUGAUACAACUACUUCAGUUGUUAAAGUUUGGGGUCCAUCUGAGCAGAAUCCUCCCACAUGUUGCUCCAUGGUUGCAAGAGCCCAGUAGUCCAUCCACCUCUUUUCAGUAUGACCAGUGGACAUUCCACCGUGUUGUAAAUCCACUCCCCCCUGCCCCCCAUACUCCUGCAUUCUCCCAUGCAUGGAGUCCCUGUGUGGGCUCCUGGGAUUUCCUCUUCUUCCCUCACUUCUUACUUAACAGAUCCCCCUGUGUUUGCUGUUGGGGAUGAGCAGGUUUUAGUCCUUAAAACUUAUAGCAGAAUCAGUGAAAUGGUUGAUGUUCUUAUUCAGCUCUUUUAAUCCUUUAUUAAAAUAAAAUGGACUAUACAGAGAAUACUACUGUGAUGAGUUGGAUUUCUGUGCAGCAAACAUACUUUAUCUAUCCAUUCCAGCAUAUUAAACCAAUCUUAAUAUUUAAAUGAAUAAAAUUAAUUAAGAAAUGCUUAAACUUGAAUUGUAUAAAAGUCCAAUAUUUUAAAAAGCUAUUUCUAAGAAUAUCCAUUCUGGAACAAAUCAGAUUACAUCCUGCUAACUCAAAUAACUCAAUUAGUGUUUUAACUCUUGAAAACUGAUUACUGAUUGUAGUGUAUGUACUAUUUAGUGUAUGUUUUAAAGUAUGUUGUAAAAAUGCCUGCUGUAAUGAGUUCUCCUAAAAGCAGUCUCUAAACAGCUUUCCAGGUGCAUUCAAACUGUAGUAAUAUGAAAUGAAUCCAUCAAUCUUUGUACAGUUGAGGGCAUUUGGGAAAAGAUUUGCAGUUCACCUUUUAACAUUAGGAGUGCAAAUCAUCUAGGCUUUUGUGGCAGAGCAUUUUGUUACAGCAUUGUUGUGGGUUUUUUUGUUUGUUUGUUUGUUUGUUUUUAACCAUUUAUCUUAUUUCUGUAGAGCACUGAUCUUAAGUCAAAUAUUUAUUCUCGGAAGCUAAAUAUCUGUAGAAUUGACAGAUGUUCAGUGGAUAAUACCUAGAGUUGUCUGCACACCCUUCUAACAGAGCAUUUGUGUCAAAGCCAAAAUGUUCUAAUAUUUAGGGGGCUGUUUUGAUGCAUGGGAUUUGAACCUAACCUCAUUGUCCACUCCCACUGAAAUCAGUUGAAUUGUAUGAGGUUGAACCCAUGCAGAAAGAUUAGUGUCACUUCCAACACACAUUAUUUAAGAAUUUAUAAAGGGAAUAUUGAAUUUAAAUGCUUUUUCUAGGUCUUGCUGCAUUUCCCUUGUGAGUUACUGAACUAUUAAGCAGAGCUAGAGAGAAUGAGGCUGACUGGUGAGAUUCAGAACUUAUCGGCACUCGUAUACCCUGAAUAGAAUUGAUGCUUCAACAGGGCACAAACAAUACUAAACAAAAUUCUUGAAAAAUCAAGAACAUGAAAGUGUGGUGGUAGUGGGAACCCUCAACUGAUGAUGGAAUACUUCAGUGCUGGUUUUACUGUAAUCCAAAUUCAUAGUGACCUACAGAUGUUACAAUUGGUGAUCUGGAUUAUGUCUGAUUGAUUGGUGGUUUUAGUCCAGUUCUCAGAGGAGCCUUCGCAUUGACUGUGAACAAAUAUGCCAAUUCUGAAUGUUUGUGGAAACUGGAAAAACCCUCUCUUCCCGCAGGGUGGCUCUUCAGGUUGAGGUACGUUGGCGGGGAAGUCCGUACACUCAAUUGUGUUGUGCGUAGAGACAUUCGUCUCUACGUUGGCCAACCUGGCAUCUUUAAAUUGUGUUAGUUCCAUACAUCUUUUAAUUUGUCUUUAAACAACACCCAAGACCUUUGGGGUUAAGGCUGAAAAACUUUGUCUGGGGGUGUAUCAGAGUAAAAUUCUAUGUCCUGAUUUGAAAAUCUCUCAACGUAAUAAUGCUGCAGUCUUCAACCAAUAUGGGCCUGAUUGAAAUUAAUGGAAUGUCUCCCAUUGACUUAAAUGAUAUGGGAUUGCAGCUUGUAUCCUUGAUCAUCCCCAACAUACCUAGAUAUUGCAAUUGAUUAUACUGUUUAUAGAGUCAACAUUUUUACUUCUGUCUCAUAGAAAGUCCCUUCUCUAUGAUCUCAAAAUCAGAGAUCCCAAGCCUGCAAACAUUUGUUUAAUUUGAAACAUGGGAGUAGUCCCAUUGACUAUAAUGCUUAAAGUUACAUUUGUUUGUAAAUCUUUGCAGUACUAGGCCCAAAGUUAAUCUGACUAUACACAGACAAAGCAAAGGGAGGGAUGAGGAUGAGAUGCAAAAUAAACUAGGUAACCUGAAAACCAAUUUUAAACUUGGGAAUAAAAUACAGUAAAAGCAAAAUAGAUGGCACUAGAAAUAAGUCAACUGUUACCAAUAAUUUUCUCACAAUCUUACAUUAAUGAGCUGAAAUACUCAGUAAUUUCAGGUACUUAAAAGUUAGAACCAGAUUCUGAUUAAAGCUCCAGGAUCUGCAUAUCUGAUGAAUCAGUAUUUUUAGUUGCAAUAUGAAUUUGAAAUUAAAGCUGGCCCAAAAGUUUUGUAUUUAAAUCUGAAUGUCCUAAAUUGUCCACCUCAGUUCAAAAUACACACACACACACACACACACACACACACACACACACACACACACACACA